AUACGGAGGAUGCGAGCGUUAUCCGGAUUUAUUGGGUUUAAAGGGUGCGUAGGCUGUGCGUUAAGUCAGGGGUGAAAUGCCGUCGCUCAACGACGGAGCUACCCUUGAUACUGGCGUGCUGGAGUACGGAUGCCGUUGGAGGAAUGAGUGGUGUAGCGGUGAAAUGCUUAGAUAUCACUCAGAACACCGAUUGCGAAGGCAUCUGACGAAUCCGUCACUGACGCUGAGGCACGAAAGCGUGGGGAUAGAACAGGAUUAGAUACCCUGGUAUUCCACGCCGUAAACGAUGAUGACUAACCGUCGGCGAUAGACAGCCGGUGGCCAAGCGAAAGCGAUAAGUCAUCCACCUGGGGAGUACGUCGGCAACGAUGAAACUCAAAGGAAUUGACGGGG
rnacentral:rRNA from 1 species